AUUGGUUUAUGCGAUUCUUAAUGUGGAUGAGAAGAACCAGGUCUUGACAACAUAUGUGUGGUACAGACAGCAAUGGACAGAUGAGUUCCUUGCGUGGGAUCCCGAAGAAUUUGAUGAUGUUAAACAGAUUUCCGUUCCCACUGCCAACAUCUGGGUUCCAGAUAUUCUUAUCAAUUAAUUGUGAGUAGAACUGACAUAAUGAGAUAGUUGAAACGUUAAUUAUAGAACUAUUUUGAACUAUUUCAGUAUGCUCUUCACAGCAGUAGCCUGUCCUUUAUCAUCUUUAUAGAAGAUUGCACCAUUAUGGAUAUUCACCAGAUUUUUGUUGAUUUGUUUAAUAUGAAUUUGAAUCUUUUGCCUGC